GACGAACGCUGGCGGCGUGCUUAACACAUGCAAGUCGAACGGAAAGGCCCCUUUGGGGGUACUCGAGUGGCGAACGGGUGAGUAACACGUGAGUAACCUGCCCUUGACUUCGGGAUAACUUCAGGAAACUGGGGCUAAUACCGGAUAGGAAUCCUUGCUGCAUGGUGGGGGUUGGAAAGCUUCGGCGGUUUUGGAUGGACUCGCGGCUUAUCAGCUUGUUGGUGGGGUAGUGGCUUACCAAGGCUUUGACGGGUAGCCGGCCUGAGAGGGCGACCGGCCAAGGUGGGAGUAAGAGACGACCCGGGGCCGUGCGGUGGGCAGGCGUCGUGGAGUGUGGACAAGGGGCGGUCGGGUGAUGCACCGAGUCCGCGGGGGGGAUGACUGGUUGUGGGUUGAACACCACAAGAAGCACCGGCUAACCACGUGGCAACGGCACCUUCAAAAGAAGCACCGGCUAACUACGUG
rnacentral:rRNA from 1 species